GAAUCUCGGCAACGGAUAUCUCGGCUCUUGCAUCGAUGAAGAAAGUAGCAAAAUGUGAUACUGGUGUGAAUUGGAGAAUCCCGUGAACCUUCGAGUCUUUGAACGCAAGUUGUGCCCGAAGCCAUUAGGCUGAGGGCACGCCUGCUUGGGUGUUG
rnacentral:rRNA from 1 species